CUCACCAGGUCAGGACACGGUAAGGAUUGACGGACUGAAGGCUCUUCUCGAUUCCGUGGAAGUGGUGCAUGGCCGUUUUGGUGGUGGAUCGAUCCGUCUGGUUAAUUCCGUUAACGAACGAGACCUCGGCACUCCGAAUAGCGCGGCGGACGUCGCGGCCUCCGGGCCGUCUUCCGCACGAGCUUCUUAGAGGGACCGUCCCCCGCCGGGGAAGGAGGUGCGAGGCAACGACAGGUCUGUGAUGCCCUUAGAUGUUCUGGGCCGCACGCGCAUUACACUGACGCGUCCAACGGGUGACUCCCGACCCGAAGGGGCCGGGGAAUCCGCAAGGCGCGUCGUGAUGGGGAUUGAACGUUGCAAUUGUUGUUCACGAACGAGGAAUUCCUAGUAGGCGCGGGUCAUCAACCCCGCGCCGAUUACGUCCCUGCCCUUUGUACACACCGCA
rnacentral:rRNA from 1 species